rnacentral:tRNA from 1 species
CCGUGGGCUGGGCACUGGCUGGAGCCCCGCCGCCUGUAAAGCGGCCGUCUUAGACUGUGGCAGUUCAAUUCUGUCCCCACGGACCA